CCUACGGGAUGCUGCAGUGAGGCAUAUUGGUCAAUGGGCGCGAGCCUGAACCAGCCAAGUAGCGUGAAGGAUGACUGCCCUACGGGUUGUAAUCUUCUUUUAUAAAGGAAUAAAGUGAGGCACGUGUGCCUUUUUGUAUGUACUUUAUGAUUAAGGAUCGGCUAACUCCGUGCCAGCAGACUAGGUAUUACGGAGGAUCCGAUCGUUAGCCGGAGUUAUUGGGUUUAAAGGGAGCGUAGAUGGUUUGUUAAGUCAGUUGUUAAAGUUUGCGGCUCAACCGUAAAAUUGCAAGUGAUAGUGGACGUCUAGAGUACAGUUGAGGUAGGCCGAAUUCGUGGGGUAGCGGUGAAAUGCUUAGAUAUCACGAAGAACUCCGAUUGCGAAGGCAGCUUACUAAACUGCCACUGACAUUGAUGCUCGAAAGUGUGGGUAUCAAACAGGAGUAGAUACCCCAGUAGUC
rnacentral:rRNA from 1 species